ACGCUGGCGGCGUGCCUAAUACAUGCAAGUAGAACGCUGAAGGAGGAGCUUGCUUCUCUGGAUGAGUUGCGAACGGGUGAGUAACGCGUAGGUAACCUGCCUGGUAGCGGGGGAUAACUAUUGGAAACGAUAGCUAAUACCGCAUAACAGUAGAUGUUGCAUGACAUUUGCUUAAAAGGUGCAAUUGCAUCACUACCAGAUGGACCUGCGUUGUAUUAGCUAGUUGGUGGGGUAACGGCUCACCAAGGCGACGAUACAUAGCCGACCUGAGAGGGUGAUCGGCCACACUGGGACUGAGACACGGCCCAGACUCCUACGGGAGGCAGCAGUAGGGAAUCUUCGGCAAUGGACGGAAGUCUGACCGAGCAACGCCGCGUGAGUGAAGAAGGUUUUCGGAUCGUAAAGCUCUGUUGUAAGAGAAGAACGAGUGUGAGAGUGGAAAGUUCACACUGUGACGGUAUCUUACCAGAAAGGGACGGCUAACUACGUGCCAGCAGCCGCGGUAAUACGUAGGUCCCGAGCGUUGUCCGGAUUUAUUGGGCGUAAAGCGAGCGCAGGCGGUUAGAUAAGUCUGAAGUUAAAGGCUGUGGCUUAACCAUAGUACGCUUUGGAAACUGUUUAACUUGAGUGCAAGAGGGGAGAGUGGAAUUCCAUGUGUAGCGGUGAAAUGCGUAGAUAUAUGGAGGAACACCGGUGGCGAAAGCGGCUCUCUGGCUUGUAACUGACGCUGAGGCUCGAAAGCGUGGGGAGCAAACAGGAAUAGAUACCCUGGUAGUCCACGCCGUAAACGAUGAGUGCUAGGUGUUAGACCCUUUCCGGGGUUUAGUGCCGCAGCUAACGCAUUAAGCACUCCGCCUGGGGAGUACGACCGCAAGGUUGAAACUCAAAGGAAUUGACGGGGGGCCCCGCACAAGCGGU
rnacentral:rRNA from 1 species